UAUUUCCCUGCCCGCCUUGCCAGGACGUGGGCGGCGGGGCCGGCCAUCGGUCCCAGGGCAGAGCCAGGCAGCCCCGUCGCACUGCGAGGGUUUGCAGAGGGCUGUCGGCUGGUGUCUGGUGUCUGUGAGCCCCAGCCAAGACUCCCUCCUCGGAAAUGUGAGCGACGCCGCAGAGGGUGCUGAUGCAAGCCCUGGGCUCCCCCUGGGCUCGUCCUCCCAGCACGUUGCAUCUCCAGCCAGAGAGCGUCCCCGGGGCCUCCACGCGCUGCCCCAGGUCUGCAGGAGGAGGUGGCAGCUUUUCGCACCCGCCUAGCACAGCCUCAGAGGCUUCAACUGGAUAGUGGCUGUUCAGCCUGGAAAAUUAUACUGAGCAAAGAAAUGAAGCCAAGAAGCCCGUAUUCGCGGUGUUGAAGGCAGCGCCUGUUGCUCUGGAGUAGAAGGAGAGAUGAGGAGCAUGCCCAGCGUUAACGUCAGCACCGGAAGGUAGCCGCUCUCCAAACCAGAGGAGAGGUACAGCUGUCGCUUGCUCCCACCAGAGACAUUGCCCUUAAGUUGCUUGUCUAAUGGAGAUUUUAAAGAUAAAUAAGAAAACUGCGCUGGAAAUCUAGACUGUCAACUGAUCCUAUUUAGGAGAUUCUUAAUAAAAGUUUUAUGUCAAGGUUUGUGAAACA
rnacentral:lncRNA from 1 species